GGGUGUGACGGCAAUCUGGCUGUGACACCUGUCAUUCCAUUGAUCGCCAGGGUUGAUUUGCUGAUCUGGCUCUCUAGACAGGUGUCCCCUUCCUUCCUCACUGCUCCAGGUGCAUCCCUCCUGAAGUUGCAUACCCAAUCAAAGAGGAAGACCUUCCCAGAAUAGAGGAGCGGUCUUCAGUCAAGGGUUUAUGAGUAGCUGCCCUCCCCUGCUAGAACCUCCAAACAAGUUCUCAAGAAGAUAACUGAUCUCUGGCCUCCACAAAUCUACACACACAUGUUUACUCACAUACAUGCAUUCACAUGUAUAUGAAC
rnacentral:snRNA from 1 species